AUCAAUAAGCGGAGGAAAAGAAAAUAACAAUGAUUCCCUCAGUAACGGCGAGUGAACAGGGAAAAGCUCAAAGUUGGAACCUGGUGGGCCUAGCCUACCCGGAUUGUAAACUAAAGUUUUUGGGUCGUUUAGUCAGCCAGAUAAAUAAGUCCUCUGGAAAGGGGCGACAUAGAGGGUGAAAUCCCCGUCUUUGGUCUGAGCAUGAUUAGGCGUUUGGCCUGGAAACGAAGAGUCAGGUUGUUUGGGAAUGCAGCCUAAAAUGGGAGGUAAAUCUCUCCUAAAGCUAAAUAUUGACGAAAGACCGAUAGCGAACAAGUACCGUGAGGGAAAGAUGAAAAGCACUUUGAAAAGAGGGUCAAAAAGUACGUGAAAUUGCUGAAAGGGAACCGUAUAAAAUCAGACUUACUGGUAGGUAAUCAACCUUCCUCUCGGGGAGGGUGCACUUGCCUGCUAUUGUAUGCCAGCAAUACUUUGGUUGGGAGGAAAAAAGUAGGAGAAAUGUAGCCUGGGUUUCGGCUUAGGUGUUAUAGUCUCUUGCAAAAUACUCUCGGCUGGAGUAAGGAACGCAGCAAACCGUAAGGCGAAGAUUUUGGGCGCUUGGAGUUAAUAGUUGGAGAAUUUCUGCUUCGGGUGGUGCUUCAGCUAUUGAUUUUAACUCGCUUAAAGUUCUUUUAAAUUGCUUAGGUUGUUGGCUU
rnacentral:rRNA from 1 species